rnacentral:tRNA from 1 species
GGUAAAAUGGCCGAAUUGUAGGUUGUAAAUUGUAAGUUUAUAUAUGAGUAUAAAACUCUUUUACCA